UGAGUCUUCUGAAUUUGAUGGCAGGUACGAAUCACAGUCACAGAACAACAAAUUGAAAUCUAAAGAUCAAAGUUUAAAGGCUAGCAGCAGAAGAAGAUCGAUCUCAUGUAUUUAAAGGUUCACUGUAAAGGUUAACUUCAGAUCUCGUGUUUGAAUUUCGGAUUUCAUCUUCUUACAGUUACAAUCAAAAGGGGGACAUCAAGCACCAUCUUUGAUUAAAUCUACUGGGGAGAGAG